UACAUACACUACAAAUGUAGAACUCCCUCUCUCUCUCUAUAAAGCUGUGGUCUUCUCAGAUUUAUAUAUGGUGUAUAGUAUAGUGUGGUCCAUCAAUAGAUCCUUUUGUAUUCUCUCUCUCUCUCUUGAAUUGCUUUCCCUUUCCUCUCUCUAUCUCUCUAUCUCUCUCUCUGUAAUUCUAUAUCUUCUGCAAGAGAGAAGAAGAAGAGAUAUGGGAGGGGGAGCUGCUACUGCCAUGGGGGAGGUGAAGGGUUUUGAGGUGAUAUGCUUAAUUGGAGGAAGAAGGGUCCGAGUCAUGUUCUUCCACAGCUUUCUUGAACUUCUUUAAUUCUUCCUCCUUUUGUUUCAAUCUUGCAUGGAUUACUAAAAGAAGAAAGGCCUUUCUCAUAGAAGCUCAAGAAAGCUGUGGGAAAACAUGGUGAAUUUCGGGUCUCGGUUAUGUUCCCUCGCUCUCCAAGCGUGAUGUUUCUGCAAAGAAAUCUUUGCCAAGCUGCAAGAAGGAGAGUCCAAGUUCCAGCACUAGGAAUCAAUUAAAUCCGGUCUUCAAAUGCUUGGUAAGUCUUAAUAUAUACAGUCUCUAUGUCUUCACUUAUCUCGUUUUGAAAACCUGGUUUUCGAUUUGCUUAGUGACAUGACAUGUCUCUUUGCGAUUCUUGUAACACAUCCAUUACAUGUUGUAGGCAAUGUGCAUCUUCUGAGAAUGCCCGAAAGUCGGAAUUUGAUGCAUUAGCUUUGGUUUUAAUUUGCUUGGUCCAAGUUUUUAAUUAAGGAAUCAUGACAACAAUGACUACAUAUAAGGUAGCUCGGCAUGAAUUCAGCACCCGUUCCCAUUAAUUUUAUAUUUAGUAUGUGAAAACCCAUAGAAACAUCUAGCGCAUGUAUAUAUGUUAUGAUCUUUUGACAGGUAACUGUUUCCAUGAAUUGUAUAUCACAGAGCUUCCUGUCAUAUGGAUGUUCCUUUUCCAUUUGCAUAUAUCGGAGGAUUCUGCAAGGCAAUAGAGUUUUGGAAACUCGUAACCCUUCCCUAUGUUUAGGUUUUUCAGUAUUUGUAACUGGCCGGAAAGUACUGAUCCUAGCUUGGUCCAAAGAUCUCCCAUCCACCGUGAGUUUAGGUUUUUUGACCUUCACCAAGACGAAGCGUCUUGUAAUUAGUUGCUGAUUUUUUAUCAUUUGCAGCAAUAUUGUUCCUUUGAAUUCUUUAGGUUUUUUUUUUUUUUUGGGGGGUAAGGAAUUCUUUAGGCUUUUAAAGUCAUGCAAGCUGAAAUUUAUUAUUCUCCUUUUACCCAUUAGUGGCUGACCUAACUCGAACCUGAAUUAGCAACAGCCAGUCUGGACUUCCGAAUUAAUAUGUUUGGUCUACAUCGAGAAAAGAAAAGUUAUUCUCCAGAGAUAAAGAGGAGAUUGAUGUGUGUCAGGGCCCAAAGGGCCUCAGAAUUCGUUCUUAUGGGUCAUCUUUGGGCCACAAGCAUGGGUGUGAGGAAAGCUGGCAUGUGUGUGUGUAUAUAUAUAUUGGAUACAAAAUGUAACUCGUAAACCAAAUGUAAAGAUCAGGUUUUCGUCGGCAAAUUCAGCGUGAAGCAAUAGACAUACUCUUCCGUGGUCACUAUAACUCUAUUGGAAACUUGCGUGGGACAUAAAAGACGGGGUGGUUGAGCCAUUGAGUCAUCAUCGAUUUCUUCAAGCUUUUAAUCAACAAUUACGUUAGUGGGGAUGUAUGAAAUCUGGCCUUUUGGACAAAGAUCAGACAAGCAAAUCUUGCCUUUUGACUGAUUAGAUGAUUGUCUUAAUGUAAUUAUUCAAGUGUUUUGCCACUUGAAAUGAA